GUCAGUGGCGGACGGGUGAGUAACGCGUAGGAAUCUAUCCUUGGAAUGGGGGACAACCGUGGGGAACUACGGCUAAUACCGCAUGAUGCCUGAGGGCCAAAGACGAAAGUCGUUUGAGGAGGAGCCUGCGUCUGAUUAGGUAGUUGGUGGGGUAAAGCCUACCAAGCCUACGAUCAGUAGCUGGUCUGAGAGGAUGAUCAGCCACAUUGGGACUGAGACAGGCCCAAACUCCUACGGGAGGCAGCAGUGGGGAAUAUUGGACAAUGGGCGCAAGCCUGAUCCAGCAAUGCCGCGUGGGUGAAGAAGGGUCUUCGGAUUGUAAAAGCCCUUUUUGGCGGGGACGAUGAUGACGGUACCCGCAGAAUAAGCUCCGGCUAACUUCGUG
rnacentral:rRNA from 1 species